UGGGGAAUAUUGGACAAUGGGCGAAAGCCUGAUCCAGCAAUGCCGCGUGAGUGAUGAAGGCCUUAGGGUCGUAAAGCUCUGUGGGGAGGGACGAACCGCUGCACGUUAAUAGCGUGCAGCAUGACGGUACCUCCUUAGCAAGCUCAGGCUAACUCCGUGCCAGCAGCCGCGGUAAUACGGAGGGAGCUAGCGUUAUUCGGAAUUACUGGGCGUAAAGCGCACGUAGGCGGCUUUGUAAGUAAGAGGUGAAAGCCUGGUGCUCAACACCAGAACUGCCUUUUAGACUGCAUCGCUUGAAUCCAGGAGAGGUGAGUGGAAUUCCGAGUGUAGAGGUGAAAUUCGUAGAUAUUCGGAAGAACACCAGUGGCGAAGGCGGCUCACUGGACUGGUAUUGACGCUGAGGUGCGAAAGCGUGGGGAGCAAAC
rnacentral:rRNA from 1 species